AGAGGAUAGUUCAGUAGUUAGAAUGCGUGCUUAGCAUGCACGAGGUCCUGAGUUCAAUCCCCAGUACCUCCC
rnacentral:tRNA from 1 species